UGGCGACCGGCGCACGGGUGAGUAACACGUAUCCAACCUGCCGAUGACUCGGGGAUAGCCUUUCGAAAGAAAGAUUAAUACCCGAUGGCAUAGUUCUUCCGCAUGGUAGAACUAUUAAAGAAUUUCGGUCAUCGAUGGGGAUGCGUUCCAUUAGGUUGUUGGCGGGGUAACGGCUCACCAAGCCUUCGAUGGAUAGGGGUUCUGAGAGGAAGGUCCCCCACAUUGGAACUGAGACACGGUCCAA
rnacentral:rRNA from 1 species